rnacentral:rRNA from 1 species
UACGAAGGGGGCUAGCGUUGCUCGGAAUCACUGGGCGUAAAGGGCUCGUAGGCGGCCAACUAAGUCGGAUGUGAAAUCCCCAGGCUCAACUUGGGAACUGCAUCCGAUACUGGAUGGCUUGAAUUCGGGAGAGGGAUGCAGAAUUCCAGGUGUAGCGGUGAAAUGCGUAAAUAUCUGGAGGAAUACCGGUGGCGAAGGCGGCAUCCUGGACCGACAUUGACGCUGAGGAGCGAAAGCUAGGGGAGCAAACGGG